rnacentral:rRNA from 1 species
GACGAACGCUGGCGGCGUGCUUAACACAUGCAAGUCGAACGGAAAGGCCCUGCUUUUGUGGGGUGCUCGAGUGGCGAACGGGUGAGUAACACGUGAGUAACCUGCCCUUGACUUUGGGAUAACUUCAGGAAACUGGGGCUAAUACCGGAUAGGAGCUCCUGCUGCAUGGUGGGGGUUGGAAAGUUUCGGCGGUUGGGGAUGGACUCGCGGCUUAUCAGCUUGUUGGUGGGGUAGUGGCUUACCAAGGCUUUGACGGGUAGCCGGCCUGAGAGGGUGACCGGCAACAUUGGGACUGAGAUACGGCCCGGACUCCUACGGGGGGAAGCAGUGGGGAAUAUUGCACAUUGGGCGGAAGCCUGAGGAAGCAACGCCGCGUGCGGGAUGACGGCCUUCGGGUUGUAACCCGCUUUCGCCUGUGACGAAGCGUGAGUGACGGUACUGGGUAAAGAAGCACCGGCUAACUACGUG